rnacentral:piRNA from 1 species
UGAGAACUUGAAUAUUAUAUGUAUUUUGCU